CGACUUAACUGAACCUUCGGGGAACGUUAAGGGCGGCGAGCGGCGGACGGGUGAGUAAUGCCUGGGAAUAUGCCCUGAUGUGGGGGAUAACUAUUGGAAACGAUAGCUAAUACCGCAUAAUCUCUUCGGAGCAAAGAGGGGGACCCUCGGGCCUCUCGCGUCAGGAUUAGCCCAGGUGGGAUUAGCUUGUUGGUGAGGUAAUGGCUCACCAAGGCAACGAUCCCUAGCUGGUCUGAGAGGAUGAUCAGCCACACUGGAACUGAGACACGGUCCAGACUCCUACGGGAGGCAGCAGUGGGGAAUAUUGCACAAUGGGGGAAACCCUGAUGCAGCCAUGCCGCGUGUAUGAAGAAGGCCUUCGGGUUGUAAAGUACUUUCAGUAGGGAGGAAGGCAGUGUCGUUAAUAGCGGCAUUGUUUGACGUUACCUACAGAAGAAGCACCGGCUAACUCCGUGCCAGCAGCCGCGGUAAUACGGAGGGUGCGAGCGUUAAUCGGAAUUACUGGGCGUAAAGCGCAUGCAGGCGGUCUGUUAAGCAAGAUGUGAAAGCCCGGGGCUCAACCUCGGAACAGCAUUUUGAACUGGCAGACUAGAGUCUUGUAGAGGGGGGUAGAAUUUCAGGUGUAGCGGUGAAAUGCGUAGAGAUCUGAAGGAAUACCGGUGGCGAAGGCGGCCCCCUGGACAAAGACUGACGCUCAGAUGCGAAAGCGUGGGGAGCAAACAGGAU
rnacentral:rRNA from 1 species